CCUACGGGAGGCUGCAGUGAGGAAUAUUGGUCAAUGGACGAGAGUCUGAACCAGCCAAGUAGCGUGAAGGAUGACUGCCCUAUGGGUUGUAAACUUCUUUUAUAUGGGAAUAAAAUGUUCCACGUGUGGGAUUUUGUAUGUACCAUAUGAAUAAGGAUCGGCUAACUCCGUGCCAGCAGCCGCGGUAAUACGGAGGAUCCGAGCGUUAUCCGGAUUUCUUGGGUUUAAAGGGAGCGUAGGUGGAUUGUUAAGUCAGUUGUGAAAGUUUGCGGCUCAACCGUAAAAUUGCAGUUGAAACUGGCAGUCGUGAGUACAGUAGAGGUGGGCGGAAUUCGUGGUGUAGCGGUGAAAUGCUUAGAUAUAUGGAAGAACACCAGUGGCGAAAGCGGCUCUCUGGGCUGUAACUGACGCUGAGGUUCGAAAGCGUGGGUAGCAAACAGGAUUAGAUACCCGAGUAGUC
rnacentral:rRNA from 1 species